UCCAACUGCCUCACCAUCUCGUCGAAACUAUGAAGGGGGGCAGCAUGGUGUGCACGAUUGCUCUUUUGUUCAUCGGGUGCCUAGUCAUGGUUGGACAAUGUCGUCCCGAGCCCGACAGUGCAUACGAAGGUGCCCAUAGCAAUGUGACUAUGGUGGUCUCAUCAUUAGAUCAGAGAAAAAUUACCUUGAAAUGGUGUAUCGCAAGGGAUUGUAAGACCAAACGAGAACCAUCGAUACUAUCCCCUAUAUGCUAUUGCUGCUUCAAUGCGCAGGGAGCACCUUGUUUUAAAUCCCUAGGGGAUUGCCAGAAUCAGUGCCCAAAUUCUCUACCAGCAUAAUAACGGUGUGCUUUACUAGAUUAUAAUAUGAAAUUUCAUAUUUGAAUUAAAAUAAUGUGAUGAUCGAUUAAAAUUGAGUGGGCCAGUAUUGAAUAUUAAGUUUUGUUGAGCAUUAAACAUCUUGAUGGUGAUUACGGGGGUGGUUAUACCUCGGGACCGUCUUGUAUUUGGCUUAUUAAAAAAGAAAUAUUCUCCUUUAAGCCAA